CUUUUCUCUUUGCUCUAGAAUUCAGCAUUGCAGCCUGGCACAAGUGAGGUUUGCUGUCUCCAGCUCAGUGUCCUGCAGUUAGCACUGAAGGAUGAAGGGCACUGCACAUGGGAGAAUCACCGUUCCUGUGGAGAGCAGCAGCGGUGGAAGCAGCAUGUUUCCCUUACCUUGAUGAGAGAGAAGGGGAUGUGGCCUCAACUGGAGGACGAAGUCAGCUGAGAGCCCAGUAGUAAUGCUGUGGGUGAGCUCUCACACCAGUUCUAAUUUUUGUAUAAAAGAGACUCAUAGACAGUGAAGAUGGGAACGCUUUCAAAGGGAAGAGAAAAUUAAUUUCUUGGUAUGUCUUUUUUUUUCUAAGUGUUGCAGUUGAAGAAGUAUCUUUAACCUCCUCAGAAGGGCAGCUUUUAAUCCUGAGAUAAAUGCAGUGUUGGUUUCUUAACUAUUUCCUGGUCACUUGGAUUAUCAGUAGUUUCUAACUUAAGAGGUUCUUCUGUUUUCUUCUCUGUAGUUGCAAUACAUCAACCAAAACCCUACCUGAAGAAUUCUGAUUAGAGUUGUUUUCCUUAGCCUUGCCUUCCUGUAGCUCUCAAUUCUUGGGUCAAGCUUGGAAAGAAGAAUAAAUCUGCAGGAAAUAAAAGAAAAAUAGCA
rnacentral:lncRNA from 1 species